UGGACAGCUCUUCACAGGAGGUCA
rnacentral:piRNA from 1 species